CCUGCAUUGUACACACUGUGCGGAAAACAUGGACAUGCACAGCGCAUACAAUGUGGAUGC
ncrna:Ictalurus punctatus (channel catfish) microRNA ipu-mir-460 precursor